rnacentral:lncRNA from 1 species
NNNNNNNNNNNNNNNNNAAAAAAAAAAAAAAAAAAAAAAAAAAAAAGUAUAAUAAAAUAAUGAAGGAAAAUUAAAAAGAAGUGAUAAAAAUAAAAUUGUUAGAAAUAUGUAAAUUCUGUAUAUGUAUGCGUGUGUGUUUUUUUUUUUUUUUUUCUGAUGAAAUAAAAUAAAACUUUUUUAGGGUACAACUUGUCUUGUUAUAUAUAUAUAUAUAUAUAUAUAUACAAAUUACAGACGUAUUUAAUAAAUAUGUUGAGAUUAUAUGGACCAAGUAUGUUAAGCUCUUCGAAAAUUGUUAAAUCGAUACCAUGUAUAAGCAUUAUAAAUUAUUUGGUGCUAAUACUUGUAUUCGUAGUGAUGGUAAAAGAGACCAGAGCUAAAAAUGAAAAUUCGUCAUCAAUAUAUACUAAGAACGGAAGUACAGGUAAUAACCGUGCAUAUGGCGUAACAAAAAAUAAUUUGCGAAAUAGAAAAGCAAGUUCUCUUGAACCUAUAUACACAGAUAGUGAAUUAAAUAUAAAAUAUUUUGAAAAAAGUGAUAGUAAUUAUGAGGAAUUAUAUAAAAAACAUCCUUUAUGUGAAGAAAAAUAUAAGUUAGUAGAUAAGUUUAAAAGCAUGAUUAUAUUUAAGAAACAAAUGGAUAAAAGUAAAAAACUUGUCCUAUUUGACACAUGUAUAAAAGAAAUGUAUGAAAUACUAUAUGUAACCAUCAGUAAUACGAGUAAUGUACUUUCUAUAAUCGCAACUGUUUAUGGUUAUGUUCCAUUUAUAUUUCUAGUAGCAGUUGUUAUAGCAGUAUGCGUAACCUUUAAUAAAUAUUUUAUAUAUUUUAUAUUAAUAUUUAUUAUUCAAACUUUUAUAAGUAAUGUAGUAUUAAAAAAUAUAAUAAAAGAAAAAAGACCUAUGAACAGUGCUUUAGAUUCUUAUGGCAUGCCAUCAACGCACAGCGCAUACUCACUUUGCUACUUGACAUUUUUGUUUCUACAUUUAACUGAAGGUAAAAAAAAUAAAUGGAAUAUUAUAACAUACAUUAUUGCUACAAUUCUAUUUUUGCCUAUACCUUGGAGCCGUGUAUAUAUAGAGGAUCAUACACUAAAGCAAGCCAUUUGCGGAAGUAUAGUUGGUAUAUUUGUUGGUAUUCUGUUUUAUUAUUUAAAAAAACAUUUUAUGCCACAUAAGAAAAUUUAACUUUUUAUUAUUAUUAAUAUUUUAAUUAUUAUAACUAUUAUUAUUAUUAUUAUUACU